CUUGAACACAAUAUUCAGGGGUAAGUGAUUAUCUUGUCAAAUACUUGUGAAAACCAGUCUCUAAAUUAUAGAAUACAUUUUGCUCAACAGAGAAAAGUCAAGAGGAAACAAAGAUGUGUGCUGGAUGUGUUCUGAAUGCCUACAUAAGAUUUUGCAAAGAGAGAUUAACCAGAGAUCCACGCCCUUUUGAAGUAUCUGUAGUAUGCAAGGAUGUUGAGUCCUUUGAUGUACUAAAAACUGUUUUUGACAAAUAUGUGAUGGAAGUAAGAAUUGCUGAAGAAGUCAGUUCCGGUACAGAUAAGACUACAUCUUUAGGAGCAACAAUUUGCUAGUCUGAUGAGGUUUGCUAUCCAGAUCCUUUUUAUCUUGACAGGGUCACAGAGGAACUGGCUGCUAAAGGUGUUACGGAAAAAGAUAUCAAAUAACUGUAUAUUUGACUGCAAGUUCGGUGAUAUAUGGUGCAUUCAUACCUAACUUUCAAGUGUGAUUACUUUCUGUGAUAUGUAGAUAAAUAUAUCCAAUAAAUUCUAGAAUACAUUAUGUACAUAUUAUGCAUGUAACCAGAUCUAAUUCAAAUCAGUUUUAGUGAUUGAAAUAGAGCAUUGAAAAUGCCCUUAGUACAUACUGGCCUCAUACCAUUUAAACUUUUUUUAUUACAAUAAUGUAAGAUAAAGUCCAAAAAAUUACAAGACAUAGUGCCAUAAUGUUAUCUUUCUGUAGUAAUUACACAUUUGUACACAACUAAACCUUCACUGAUCUGUUUGAAUAUUUUCUGUAUUAAGUCAUACCCUGUUCAUAUAAUUCUUUACUAUAAUUAUCAAAUAAUGUCAGUAGGGAUUAAAUAAUAAUUGUCCUGCGAAUUUCUGGAGAGACUAUUGUUUUUGGCAGGUAUGUCUGUCAUCUUUUGGCACACAUGCAUUGCAUAAUAAGAUGCAAAACAAAACUGUACAUAAUGCAGCUGUCAGCCAAGUCAGUUCCAGGUCAAGGAUUCAGUAUUUCUGGGCUGUUCUGUAUGUUUUAAACCUAUGACCAAUUAUUACAUAACUUUGCAUAAAAGUGUCCAUAAAAUUACUGAUUUACAGAAAGUAUUUUUCACACAUUAUAUGAUAGUUAUGGUAGCAUCAUAUAUUGAAUGCAGCUUCCACUGAGUAAAGGUCAAAGAUGUGUUUUAUUUUUAGCUCACUUGAGCACAAAGUGCUAUUGUGAUUACACUGUGUCCGUCAUCCGUCCGUCAUCAACAAUUGAGUUUAAACGACAUCUCCCCAAAAACCACUGAAUGGAUUUUGAUAAAACUUGACUUGGAUGUUCCUUGGAAGGUUCUCUACCAAAGGGGCCACAAGAGCUAAAAAUAGAAAACUCUUCAAACAUCAUCUCCUAAAGCGAUGGUUCAGUUUUGAAAUAAUUUCACACAAAUGGUCCUUAUGUCACUCUCUACUAAGAUUGUUCAAAUUAUACAAAUUUAUCAAAAAAUUGGCCACCCGGUGUCAUGGUCACUUUUCCGUAUAUGUAUAUAGUGGAAAUUUUAAAAAUCUUGUGUGAAACUGCUGACCCGAUUUUUAUAAUUUUACACAAUGGUCCUUGUGUGACCCUCUACCAAGAUUGUUCAAACUGUUUUGAUCUUUCAAAAAACAUGGCUGCCAGAGGGCAUGAUCACUUUUCACUAUAUGUAUAUAAUGAAAACUUUAAAAAUCUUGAGUGAAACUGCUAGCCUAAUUUUAAAAUAAUUUCACACAGAUGGUUCUUGUUUGACCCUCUACCAAGAUUGUUCAAAUUAUUUUGAUGUCAAAAAAUGUGGCUGCCAGGGGCGGGGUCCUAUUUCCCUACAUGUAUAUAGUGGAGACUUAGAAAAUAUUAUAGUAUAAAAGUGUUAGCCUGAUUUUAAAAUAAUUUCACACAAAUUGUCCAUGUGUGACCUUUUCAAAUAUUGUUCAAAUGUUUCUGUUUUGUCAAAACACAUGGUCGCCAGAGGGCGUGGUCACUUUACAUCAACAAUUUCUUUAAACAACAUCUCUUCCAAAACCACUGAAUGGAUUUGAUGAAAUUUUAGCCCUCUUUCAAAGUUAUUCAAAUGGUUACAGUUCAUUGGUCUUUUUGGUUAAAAAUAGAUUUUCAGCUAUCAGACUUCAAAAACCUUUUUCUCCAGAUCGAGCUUUGAUAAUUAUGUUCCCCCCCUCACUCCCUACAUUUAUAGGAGUGAUCAGUACCAAGCCUAGUUGUGCAUAUUGCUGGCAUGUUCCGCUUUGCUGCACAAAAUGGCCGCCAGAGCUCAAAAUAGAAAAAUCUUGUCCGGCAUUUCACAAGUCAGACUGCUGGCUGGAUUUAGAUGAAACAUUACAGAAGGGAUCAGUACCAAGCCUAGUUGUGCCUAUCGCUGGCAUGUUUUGCUUUGCUGCACAAAAUGGCCGCCAGAGCUCAAUAUAGAAAAAUAUUGUCUGGCUUUCAUGGGUCAAACUGCUGGCUCACCAGGACUUCUACAAAACUUCACAGGAGUGAUCAGUACCAAGCCUAGUUGUGAAUAUUGCCUGCACAUUCUGCUUUGCUGCACAAAAUGGCCACCAGAGCUAAAAAUAGAAAAAUAUUGUCCGGCUUUCACAGGUCAAAAUGCUGGCUGGAUUUAGCCAAAACUUCACAGGACUGAUCAGUACCAAAGGCUAGUUGUGUAUAUCACUGACACAUUCCGCUUCGCUGCACAAAGGGCCGCCAGAGCUAAAGGUAUACAUAGGGGGAGACAUAUGUUUAUGUGAAAAAAACAUCUUCUAGUUUGGCAUGUGGUAUAGAAGAGUUUGACUCUCUACCUUACUUGUCCAAAUUAUUGCUCUAAGGUUGAAAAUGACCAUGCCCCUGUGUGUGAUCGUGACAUGUACUACCUAUAGGUUUAUAUAAUUAUAAGAAACUUUCAAAACCUUCAUCUGUGAAUCAAUAAUAGCUAGAGCUAGUCUUGAUAUUUGGCGUGUGCUGUCAAAGUGGUACAGUCUAUCGUAAUUGUUCAAACUAUUGCCCUAGGUUCAAAAAUGUGUGUGGCAUGUACUGUAAAAUCAAUUAAUUUCGUGGGCAUGAAAUUUCGUGGUUUUGGUCAAAACAGCAAUUUCGUGGGGAUAUGAAUUUGUGGAUUUCAAUUUUUGAACAUUGAUUCAAUGGGAAUUUUACUUGUUCGUUGAGAUUAAAUUUUGUUGAUUGACUCAACCACGAAAUCCACGAAAAUUAGCUCCCCACAAAAAUUAAUGAUUUCACAGUAUAUGAUAUAGGAGAAAUCUAAUUAGUUAUACAAACACACUUGAAACCGUAUACACAGGUGAGCACUUUAGGGUCAAUGACCCACUUGUUUAAAAUGACUAGCUUGUUAUUCAUAUGUUUCUAUCAAAGACUCUUUCUAACUUGUUAUCAUGUAUUCAGAUUAAGUUAAUAGUUAUAUUAAAGUAUAGAACAUAAAUUUUAUGUGUCAUAAUGUUCUGUUUAUGUUGUAUUUGUAUAUAUGAAGUACAGCCAAUUGCACAGGUUUGUUUUAUAAACUGUGAAGUGACCAUUUAGAAGUACAUUUGUGAAAGAGUAAUGUAGUGUUUAUAAAAUGAAAAUUGUUCCUGAAUGUCACAUUUGAGUGAUUUGGGUAAUAGGAGCUAUUCAAAAGCACACAGUAUGUCCCGAUGUCCGUGCUUUUAAUAUAUUUUUAGGGGGAGGGGGGGGGGGGGGGGUCCCAAUAAUCCUUUUUAUUGACACGGGGCCUCCUUGGCCGAGUGGUUAAGGUCAGUGACUUCAAAUCACUUGCUCCUCAGUUUUGUCUUUUUAGUGACAUUUUAGUGGUGUCAUAAUAAAUCAACUAAUUCAGAAAAAAGGAUGUUUUAAAGGCAUACGCUAGAGAUGGGCGAAAUUUCUCCCAAUAAUAGAAUUUCUUCAAAUGUGGGAUAUUGAAGGACAAUUACCUAAGAAACAAAAAUAUGAAAUAAAUAGGUCCCCAGAAUUGAAAAAGAGUUAUCUGCCCUUGAAAAUGGCAUUUUCCCCAAAUAAUGCCGUUUUCAAGUCGGAUAACUCUUUACAAUACCUGUGACUGAUUUUUGCUGUGAUUUGUUAUAAGUGUACCUUCUCAGUAACAUUUUAAAGUAUUUAUGAAUUUUACUGUUCCAUUUUACCAUUCAUGGCAUUUUGUCAUUUUUAGCUCACUGGAGCCUUUGGCUCAUAGUGAGCUUUUGUGACCGCUCAAUGUCCAUCAUGUGUCGUCAGUCGUCCGUCGUGUGUCUGUCAACAUUUUCUAAAAAAAUCUUCUUGAAAACCACUGGGCAGAAUUACACCAAACUUCACAGGAAUGAUCCUUGGGUGGUUCCCUUUCAAAAUUAUUCAAAGAAUUGAAUUCCAUGCAGAACUCUGGUUGCAAAGCUUAAAAAAUUUUCUUGUCCAAAACCGCAAGGUUAGAGCCUUGAUAUUUGACCUGUGACAUUAUCUAAUGGUCCUCUAUGAAAAUUGUUCAAAUCGUGCCUCAGUGGUGAAAAGAGGCCCUGCCCCGGGGGUCCCAAGUUUUACAUAGACUUGUAUAGGAAAAAAACUUUGAAAAUCUUCUUGUCUGAAACCACAACACCUAGGCCUUUGAUACAUUUAGUAUGAAGCAUUGCCUUGUGGUCCUCUUCCAAAAUUGUUCAAAUUAUGCCUCUGGGGUGAAAAGAGGCCCUGCCCUGGGUAUCCCAAAUUUAACAUAGACUUAUAUAGGGGAAAAAAAAAAUUUUUCUUUUCUGAAACUUCAAGGCAUAGGCCUUUGAUAUUUGGUAUGUAACAUUACCUAGUGGAUAUCUAACGAUGUUGUUCAAAUUAUGCCCCUGGGGUGAAAAGAGGCCCCGUCCUGGGGGUCACUUGUUAAUAUAAUGAGUUAUAUAGGAAUAAAUACUUCAAAAAUUAUCAGAUCAUAUUUCCUUGACUGUUUAAUUAUAAUUACCUUAUGACCCUAAGCGAUUAGGAGUCACUUGACUGUGAAUUUGACCUGCUGACCUACUUUCAUGUUUUUUGAGAUACAGCCUUGAAAUUUGGAUGACAUGUACAGUUUUGCACACCAAUCUUAAAACUGAUUUUCAGUGACCAUGAAUAUGACCUACUGACCUACUUUAUAACAUUUUAGUGUCAGUUUGCCAUUUGAAACAUGUGGCUCAUAUUACUCAGGUGAGCGAUUCAGGGUUAUCAUGACCCUCUUGUUUGAAUAAGAACUGCAUGUAAACUAAGUGAUUAUACUGUGUUAGUUAUGUUCAAAGCCACUUAUUUUAUAUUUAAAGCAUUACAUGCUGUUGAAUUUUCAUGUUUUUAUUGUGAAAAUUUUCAGUUUUGUAUUUAUUUUGUGGAAUGCACAUUUUUUUUUUGAUAGUCUUUUUAUGAACAGAAAACUAAUAAUGAAGAAUAUUACACUGAUUUUCACAGAACUUUUGAAAUAUCUUUUUAUUUCUCAAUGCAAGUUAUUUCCUUGAAAAAAGAAGUAUUUGCUAUCUUAUAGAAUAGGUGACCACCAUAGGAAAUAGAUUUGAAUAUUCAACCCCCAUGUCACACUUUUGCUUCAUUAUUUUGAAAACAGUCCAUAUGUCUUAUUGUGCAAACAUGAUUUUGCAUAUUAUUGUGUAAUUUUAGUGAAACAAUUCUGUGAUAUUAACAUUUAUAAGUAGUUUGUGUAUAUUUUGGAGGUCCUUGAACUUGAGUUAGAAAUGUUUUGUGUUGUCAGUUGUCUUGACUUUGAUUCACUGACUGUGUUGUUAUAUUUUCUGGUCCUUGGGGAUCAUGGAGUCCACUAAUGUGGUGCUAGGGGACGUGAGAGGUGUUGCACAUUUCAUUACCUUUUAUGAACAUAAUCAAACCAAGUCUGCUGUUAUUCUGCUUGAUUGCAUGCUAUACUUUUUACAGAUUUUAUUGUCCAUAUCCAGGUUUUAUUGCUGUAAUUGAAUAAGUAUUUAUCACAGCAUUUUGCUGUACAAUGAAAACUGUAAUCCUUCAUUUAGGUAUAGAGAUGUUAGGAACUUGAGUGUUACAUUUUGUUAUUCUUGUCUUUGCCAUGAAUUUGUUACUUGUAUUUUAUUUUCAGUUUCAUUGUUUAUUGUAUUGAUUAGUUUUAUAUUUUAUUGAUUGAAUUGUGAAGUGAGCUGGAAGCAGCUGAAGUUAUAUACAGCUAAAACUCUCGACUACCAAGGGACCAAGCGCUUUACUUUGAGAUAACGAAAAGUUGUUAUCAGAAUGGUACUUGGUGUAGGUGUUUCUCAUUAAAUUAAUUGCUUUUUAUAAAGCCACCUUUGCAUGUUCUUGAAUAUACAUUAAUAAUGUAACAUUAUAUAUACUCUGUGAGAGUACUAAGUGAUUUUGUUCAUGUUAUCAUGGCUUUAACUGUGGUUUAUGUCACAUCUUUACUACAUAUCUUUUGUAUAUAGGUAACAAAUAUUUUCUUCAUCAUAUCAAAGGUUCAACACAUAGAAAUCAAAGUGGUUGGAGGUCAAGUUUCCCUCGUCACAUCUGAAGGCACAGUAUGUUGCCUUAGUAGAAACAGUCAAAACUUUGAGAUAGAAUUUUCCUGAUAUUGAGUCUCUACUGUAUGAAUCAUUAUGGUGAAAGAUAAAAAUAAUUGUGACAGCAGAAUAAACUGAAAGAUGACAAUAUGAUAUUUUAGCUAAAUGUUUUACAUCAAUUCAUUAUAUUCAGGAUUUAGAAAAUUCUUAACAUUUUUAAACUAUUAUAUAACCUACACUAAGGAAAGCACUGUAAGUCCACUCCACUAUUAAUUAAGGCUCUUUCUAGUUCAUCCGAACAAAAACAUCUUGGACAAUUAAGUUUUAUAACAGGCAAACUUUCUCAAAUAAUAUAGGAUGUGUUGUGAGAACCACUUUCAAAGAGAUUUCAAAUGAAUGGGACUUCAUUCACAUUAUCUUUAUGAAUUGUUAUUUUUUAGCUCACCUGUCACAAAGUGACAAGGUGAGCUUUUGUGAUCGCGCGUCGUCCGUCCGUCCGUCCGUGCGUGCGUCCGUAAACUUUUGCUUGUGACCACUCUAGAGGUCACAUUUUUCAUGGGAUCUUUAUGAAAGUUGGUCUGAAUGUUCAUCUUGAUGAUAUCUAGGUCAAGUUCGAAACUGGGUCACGUGCCAUCAAAAACUAGGUCAGUAGGUCUAAAAAUAGAAAAACCUUGUGACCUCUCUAGAGGCCAUAUAUUUCAAAAGAUCUUCAUGAAAAUUGG